GGGUCACUGUAGUCACCAAAACAACUUUUUUUUUAAACAACCUAUUAACUUAAUGAAGCAGUUUUUGUAUAUAAAUUAUGCCCCUACAGUCUCACUGCUAAAUUCUCUGCCAUUUGGGAGUUUAAUCACUUUGUUUAUGCAGCCCUAGUCACACCUCCCUGCAUGUGACUUACCCAGUCUUCCUAAACACUUCCUGCAAAAAGUUACCUAAUGUUUAAACAGAAUUUGUGAUAAAGGAAGUGUAAUUUAGAAUUUAUUAUCCCCUGCUCUACUAAUAUAUUGCUAGAUCCUAUAGUAGCCUCAUGUGUGUAUUUAAAGUUCAAUUUACAGAGCAGGAGAUAAACACUUUUAAAGUAAAUUACAUAUGAUUGAAACUUUAAGCUAUUUUGUUUUCAUGCAGGCUGUCAGUCAGAGCCAGGGGAUGUGUGGCUAGGGCUGCAUAAACAGAAACACAACUGAUUUAUCUCCUAAAUGGCAGAGAAUUGAGCAGUGAAACUUCAGAGGCUUGAACUAUAAACCCUAACUCCUUCAUUACCUUCGUUAAGCUAAAGUUGUUUUGGUGACUAUAGUGUCCCUUUAAAUGCUGAGGAAUGGCAUAUUAUCUGGGAAUACAUCUACAGCAUUUUCAGAAGUAUUAAUUAACUUUUUAUUUAGGGUUUUUUCCAGUCUUUUUAAAUUAAUGCAAACUGAAAUCUUCAUUUAAUUAACAUUAUUAAUUGCUAC